UGCAGUCGUGCGAGAAGUGUUUUUUGCUUGCAUUGAACACGGACAGCGGCGAAAGGGAGAGUAACGUGUGGUUACAUGCCCAAGGGUCCAGGAUAGCGUCGGGAAACUGGCGGUAAUACUGGAUGAUAUCUAAGGAUCAAAGGUGUGAUUCCGCCCUUGGAUUGGACCGCAUACUAUUAGCUUGUUGGUGAGGUAAUGGCUCACCAAGGCUGCGAUGGUUACCGGGUGUGAGAGCGUGGCCCGGCUCACUGGGACUGAGACACUGCCCAGACACCUACGGGUGGCUGCAGUCGAGAAUCUUCGGCAAUGGACGAAAGUCUGACCGAGCGACGCCGCGUGCGGGAUGAAGGCCCUCGGGUUGUAAACCGCUUUCAGUUGGGAGGAAAGUCCUGUGAAGAGCAGGACCUGACCGAUCUUCAAAAGAAGGACGGGCUAAGUUCGUGCCAGCAGCCGCGGUAAGACGAACCGUCCAAACGUUAUUCGGUAUCACUGGGCUUAAAGCGUGCGUAGGCGGCUUGGUAGGUGUGAUGUGAAAGCCCACGGCUCAACCGUGGAAUUGCGUCGCAAACCCCCAAGCUUGAGGAAGACAGGGGUGUUGGGAACUUAUGGUGGAGCGGUGAAAUGCGUUGAUAUCAUAGGGAACACCGGUGGCGAANGCGCAACACUGGGUCUUUUCUGACGCUGANGCACGAAAGCUAGGGUAGCGAACGGGAUUAGAUACCCCGGUAGUCCUAGCCGUAAACGAUGAGCACUGGGUUGAGGGGACUUCCACAUCNUCUCGGCCGUANCGAAANCGUUAAGNGCUCCGNCUGGGGAGUAUGGUCGCA
rnacentral:rRNA from 1 species